UACAGAGGGGGCAAGCGUUGUUCGGAAUUACUGGGCGUAAAGGGCGCGUAGGCGGCCUGCUAAGUCGAACGUGAAAUCCCUGGGCUCAACCCAGGAACUGCGUCCGAUACUGGUUGGCUUGAAUCCGGGAGAGGGACGUGGAAUUCCAGGUGUAGCGGUGAAAUGCGUAGAUAUCUGGAGGAACACCGGUGGCGAAGGCGGGUCUCUGGACAGUUCCUGACGCUGAGGCACGAAGGUCAGGGGAGCAAACGGG
rnacentral:rRNA from 1 species